UUCUCAGGUACAGAAAGCCACAGCCAGGAAGAUGCUCCCAAUAGAAGAGUGCAAACAUCUCUGCGGUGGCCAAUAUGGAUGACAGUUUUUGUGAGCACAUACCAAUAUGUGUAUAUAAUAGGUUCUGCAAUAGGGGUACCAAGACCAAGGAUAUAUACGAUUUAAAACAUGAUAGUUCUUGGCAAGUUGUCUCCCACCAAGCUCUCAUUUGGAUUCAGUGCUCUUCAGACCUGUGAAGGCAGGAUCAUCUGAUGUCUGAUACCUCACACAGCACCAGCAGUACCCAGGACUUCUGUGGAUACAGAACUGGAGCCUUGCCUGGACCUGCUGAACUCGAAUCUAUGCCUGCCACUUCCCUGGGUGAUUCACAUGAGUGCUGGAGUGUGGGAAGCAACAAGCCAUUGUAAACCAGCAAGUGUGCAAUGUCAUUCUUUUUUC
rnacentral:lncRNA from 1 species